rnacentral:rRNA from 1 species
UAGGGAAUCUUCGGCAAUGGACGAAAGUCUGACCGAGCAACGCCGCGUGAGUGAAGAAGGUUUUCGGAUCGUAAAACUCUGUUGUUAGAGAAGAACAAGGACGUUAGUAACUGAACGUCCCCUGACGGUAUCUAACCAGAAAGCCACGGCUAACUACGUGCCAGCAGCCGCGGUAAUACGUAGGUGGCAAGCGUUGUCCGGAUUUAUUGGGCGUAAAGCGAGCGCAGGCGGUUUCUUAAGUCUGAUGUGAAAGCCCCCGGCUCAACCGGGGAGGGUCAUUGGAAACUGGGAGACUUGAGUGCAGAAGAGGAGAGUGGAAUUCCAUGUGUAGCGGUGAAAUGCGUAGAUAUAUGGAGGAACACCAGUGGCGAAGGCGGCUCUCUGGUCUGUAACUGACUCUGAGGCUCGAAAGCGUGGGGAGCAAACAGG